CGUUAUUCUGACAAUGGAAAGAUAAGCUUUUGCAUACGUCUGGGGAAAAGUAUCCUGAAAUCGGAAUGGGCAAGACAUCCUGAAAUUUAGCAUUGUCUUACAUCCUAUAGAAGAAAUACCUUAGUCUGUCACAGUCAGCAUAUUAUUUCGUACAUUGAGUUUAACUAUUUCAUAUCCUUUCAGUCAGCAAUAAUAUUUAUAAACCUUAUAAAAGCAUAAAAUACAUAUGAACAAG